AUUGAACGCUGGCGGGAGGCCUAACACAUGCAAGUCGAACGGAGCGGCGAACGGGUGAGUAAUGUCUCGGAACCUGCCCGGUAGCGGGGGAUAACGACGCGAAAGCGGAGCUAAUACCGCAUACUAUUAGAUGAGCCGAGGUCGGAUUAGCUAGUUGGUGGGGUAACGGCCCACCAAGGCGACGAUCCGUAACUGGUCUGAGAGGACGACCAGUCACACUGGAACUGAGACACGGUCCAGACUCCUACGGGAGGCAGCAGUGGGGAAUAUUGGACAAUGGGCGAAAGCCUGAUCCAGCCAUGCCGCGUGUGUGAAGAAGGUCUUCGGAUUGUAAAGCACUUUAAGUUGGGAGGCGUUACCAGCAGAAUAAGCACCGGCGAACUUCGUACCAGCCGCCGCGGUAAUUC
rnacentral:rRNA from 1 species